UACGUAGGUGGCGAGCGCUGUCCGGAUUUAUUGGGUUUAAAGGGUGCGUAGGCGGCUUUGUAAGUCAGUGGUGAAAUACUCCAGCUUAACUGGAGGGGUGCCAUUGAUACUGCGGAGCUUGAGUACAGAUGAGGUAGGCGGAAUUGACGGUGUAGCGGUGAAAUGCAUAGAUAUCGUCAAGAACACCGAUAGCGAAGGCAGCUUACUGGGCUGUAACUGACGCUGAUGCACGAAAGUGUGGGGAUCAAACAGGA
rnacentral:rRNA from 1 species